CUGAGUUCUAACAUCCAAGGGCAGAGAAAAAUGGUAUCCCAGCUCCGGAAGACAGAGAGCAAACUAUUUCACAUUGUCUCUGCCUUUUUAUUGUAUCCAGGCGCUCAGCUGAUUGGAUGAUACCUGCUCCCAUUGGGGAUCUCACUAUGUUACUUGGGCUGGUCUCGAACUCCUGGCUUCAAGUGAUCCUCCCAUCUCAAUCUCCCAAAGUGCUGUGACUACAGGUGUGAGUCACUGUGCCAGGCCCAACCUGAAACCUUGACUGCAACUCACCUCAGAGACUGCGACACACUGGCUAUGCCCCAAGUCAUAUGUGGAGAGGGCAGCUUUUCUCAUCCGGCUUGCCAGGGCUCUUCUAAAUUGAACAUAGACAGAAGGAAAAGAAAGGCAUGUUCUGGGAGCUCAGAGUCUUUUGUUACACGUGUCUCGAAGGGUACUAAUACAUCUCCAGUAGCUGUGAUUAUGCCAUGAAAUGUCUCUAAUAAAAAUUACUUUUUGAAAUAACGCAUACAGAGCAGUUUUCAAGCCUCUAUAGAAGUCAUCUUACAGCGAGUCUGAGCCAGUGAAAUGCAGUUAUAGUGAUAUGUGUACUCCCAAGGUAGCUGUCAAUGCUCCUACUCGGAAAUACUCAUAUGUUGCUUCUGACUUGAAGCAGAGGAACUCACAACCUAAGAAGCCACAGGCUUGAAGAUGGCAGAGCACAAGAUGGCAGAAGUUUGGAAUGAAUUACUACUUGAAAGAGAAGCUCUUAUUUACCAAGAAAUAUAUUUUGGAAUUUGCAUGAGUAAGAAAUAAAUCCAA
rnacentral:lncRNA from 1 species